rnacentral:rRNA from 1 species
UACGGGGGGGGCAAGCGUUGUUCGGAAUUACUGGGCGUAAAGGGCUCGUAGGUGGCCAACUAAGUCAGACGUGAAAUCCCUCGGCUUAACCGGGGAACUGCGUCUGAUACUGGAUGGCUUGAGUUCGGGAGAGGGAUGCGGAAUUCCAGGUGUAGCGGUGAAAUGCGUAGAUAUCUGGAGGAACACCGGUGGCGAAGGCGGCAUCCUGGACCGAUACUGACGCUGAGGAGCGAAAGCCAGGGGAGCAAACAGG